AUUGAACGCUGGCGGCAGGCCUAACACAUGCAAGUCGAGCGAGCGGCGGACGGGUGAGUAAUGUCUGGGAAACUGCCUGAUGGAGGGGGAUAACUACUGGAAACGGUAGCUGAUACCGCAUACCAUCGGAUCUGCCCAGUUGGGAUUGGCUAGUGGGUGGGGUAACGGCUCACCUAGGCGACGAUCCCUAGCUGGUCUGAGAGGAUGAUCAGCCACACUGGGACGGAGACACGGCCCAGACGCCUACGGGAGGCAGCAGUGGGGAAUAUUGGACAAUGGGCGCAAGCCUGAUGCAGCCAUGCCGGGGGUAGGAAGAAGGCCUUCGGGUUGUAAAGUACGUUCAGUCGGGAGGCGUUACCGACAGAAGAAGCACCGGCUAACUCCGUGCCAGCAGCCGCGGUAAUAC
rnacentral:rRNA from 1 species